GAUGAACGCUGACAGAAUGCUUAACACAUGCAAGUCUACUUGAAUUUGGGUUUUUUAACUUAGAUUUGGGUGGCGGACGGGUGAGUAACGCGUAAAGAACUUGCCUCACAGUUAGGGACAACAUUUGGAAACGAAUGCUAAUACCUGAUAUUAUGAAUAUAUGGCAUCAUAUAAUUAUGAAAGCUAUAAGCGCUGUGAGAGAGCUUUGCGUCCCAUUAGCUAGUUGGAGAGGUAACGGCUCACCAAGGCGAUGAUGGGUAGCCGGCCUGAGAGGGUGAACGGCCACAAGGGGACUGAGAAACGGCCCGUACUCCUACGGGAGGCAGCAGUGGGGAAUAUUGGACAAUGGACCAAGAGUCUGAUCCAGCAAUUCUGUGUGCACGAUGACGUUUUUCGGAAUGUAAAGUGCUUUCAGUUGGGAAGAAAAAAAUGACGGUACCAACAGAAGAAGUGACGGCUAAAUACGUG
rnacentral:rRNA from 1 species